AUGCAGAAUUACAGUGGCGAGCUUGUGGACCUGUACAUGCAGCGGAAAGGCUCUGCUAGUAAUCGCAUCAUUGGGGUCAAGAACCAUGCAUCCAUCCAGAUGAAUGUGGUAGAGGUUGACAAGGUCAUAGGCAGGUUUAAUGGCCAGUUUAAAACCUGUGCUAUCUGCGAGGUCAUUUGCAGGGUGGGUAAGUCAGAUGACUACACUCUGUGAUUGGCCAAGGCCAGUGGCAUCAUCGGAAAAAAUUUUUGACUGGAGAGAAUCAUGGAUAUGGAAAGUUUGUCAUAAAGAAAUAGUGAAAACCUAAAAAAA